GCAGGCAUGGCCGAGUGGUUUAAGGCGAUGGUUUUAAGUUAAGUGUGUUUAAUUACAAAGACAACUUUUCACCAUUAUCGAGAGAUGCGUGGGUUCGAACCCCACUGCCUGCA